UAAGAAGACUCUGUCUCCAAGGC
rnacentral:piRNA from 1 species